CUUUUAACAAAAUAAUGAGAUAAAUACUUUUGAUAAUUUUAAUAUGUAUAAUAAUUGACAGAACUUCAACAAAAUACUAGUCAAACAUCAUUUUAUAUCAGACAACCUUAGAUGAUAAAAUCAAUCAAACGCUCUAUAAUUCUUUUUCACAUAGUAGCACUAUUUCACGUAUUUCUUUAAUCAUUAUUAACAUACUAGUUAAGGGACCCGCGCGAUGCUGCGGGUAGUUAUUUUAAAAUUUAAUUUUGAAAAUUAGUUAUAAAAAUCAAUUUCAGAAUUAAAUGGUGUAAUAAGUACAUCAAAAAAUUUUAGUGGGCAUAGUAGUCCUUCAUUAGUUAGUAAAAUAAUUUUAGUAGGUAUCGUAGUCCCCCAGUAGUUAGUGAAUGAGAAGAGAAAUCAUGCUGCGGGUAGUUAUUUUAAAAUUUAAUUUUAAAAAUUAGUUAUAAAAUAAAUGCAGUUAUCUUUCCUAAUGUAAUAAGAAAUAAUUUUUAGUAGGCAUCGUAGUUUCCCAGUAGUUAGUGAAAUAAUUUUUAGUAGGUAUCGUAGUGCAAUAAGUAUAUUUAAUACCAAUAGUCUAAAUUAUUUAACAUUUAUUUAUAUAUUUUAUAUUUUAUAAAUAUAAAUAGUAAAUUAUAUAAUAAAUUAUUAUAUAAUAAUAUAUCUAUAUAACAAUAAAAUACUUAUAUAAUAGAUAAAUAUAUAUUUAUAAAUAAAUUUUAUAUAUAUAUAUAUAUAUAUAUAUAGAGUCCGGCUACUAUACUCUUAGGGUGCGUUUGGUUCGAGUUAUCCUGCCAGGAUUACAGGCAAUCCUGCCAGGAUAACUGUGUUUGGUUAAU
rnacentral:lncRNA from 1 species